rnacentral:rRNA from 1 species
UACGGGAGGCAGCAGUGGGGAAUAUUGCACAAUGGGCGCAAGCCUGAUGCAGCCAUGCCGCGUGUAUGAAGAAGGCCUUCGGGUUGUAAAGUACUUUCAGUCGUGAGGAAGGUGUUAAGGUUAAUAACCUUAGCAAUUGACGUUAGCGACAGAAGAAGCACCGGCUAACUCCGUGCCAGCAGCCGCGGUAAUACGGAGGGUGCGAGCGUUAAUCGGAAUUACUGGGCGUAAAGGGCACGCAGGCGGUUAAUUAAGUUGGAUGUGAAAUCCCCGGGCUUAACCUGGGAAUGGCAUUCAAGACUGGUUAGCUAGAGUCUUGUAGAGGGGGUAGAAUUCCAUGUGUAGCGGUGAAAUGCGUAGAGAUGUGGAGGAAUACCGGUGGGCGAAGGCGGGCCCCUGGGACAAAGGACUGACGCGUCAUGUGCGAAAGCGUGGGGAGCAAACGAGGGAUUAGAUACC